rnacentral:rRNA from 1 species
UACGGGGGGGGCAAGCGUUGUUCGGAAUUACUGGGCGUAAAGGGCUCGUAGGCGGCCAACUAAGUCAGACGUGAAAUCCCUCGGCUUAACCGGGGAACUGCAUCUGAUACUGGAUGGCUUGAGUUCGGGAGAGGGAUGCGGAAUUCCAGGUGUAGCGGUGAAAUGCGUAGAUAUCCGGAGGAACACCGGUGGCGAAGGCGGCAUCCUGGACCGGCACUGACGCUGAGGAGCGAAAGCCAGGGGAGCAAACGGG